rnacentral:rRNA from 1 species
ACCUUGACGGUACCUAACCAGAAAGCCACGGCUAACUACGUGCCAGCAGCCGCGGUAAUACGUAGGUGGCAAGCGUUGUCCGGAAUUAUUGGGCGUAAAGGGCUCGCAGGCGGUUUCUUAAGUCUGAUGUGAAAGCCCCCGGCUCAACCGGGGAGGGUCAUUGGAAACUGGGAAACUUGAGUGCAGAAGAGGAGAGUGGAAUUCCACGUGUAGCGGUGAAAUGCGUAGAGAUGUGGAGGAACACCAGUGGCGAAGGCGACUCUCUGGUCUGUAACUGACGCUGAGGAGCGAAAGCGUGGGGAGCGAACAGGAUUAGAUACCCUGGUAGUCCACGCCGUAAACGAUGAGUGCUAAGUGUUAGGGGGUUUCCGCCCCUUAGUGCUGCAGCUAACGCAUUAAGCACUCCGCCUGGGGAGUACGGUCGCAAGACUGAAACUCAAAGGAAUUGACGGGGGCCCGCACAAGCGGUGGAGCAUGUGGUUUAAUUCGAAGCAACGCGAAGAACCUUACCAGGUCUUGACAUCCUCUGACAACCCUAGAGAUA